rnacentral:rRNA from 1 species
AGCGAACGCUGGCGGCAGGCUUAACACAUGCAAGUCGAGCGGGCCCUUCGGGGUCAGCGGCGGACGGGUGAGUAACGCGUGGGAACGUGCCUUCUGGUCUGGAAUAACCCUGGUAAACUAGGGCUAAUAACGGAUACGCCCUUUUGGGGAAAGGUUUACUGCCGGAAGAUCGGCCCGCGACUGAUUAGCCAGUUGGUGGGGUAACGGCCUACCAAGGAGACGAUCAGUAGCUGGUCUGAGAGGAUGAUCAGCCACACUGGGACUGAGACACGGCCCAGACUCCUACGCGAGGCAGGAGAGGGGAAUAUUGGACAAUGGGCGCGAGCCUGAUCCAGCCAUGCCGGGUGAGUGAUGAAGGCCUUAGGGUUGUAAAGCUCUUUUAUCCGGGACGAUAAUGACGGUACCGGAGGAAUAAGCCCCGGCUAACUUCGUG